ensembl:snoRNA Scarna9 small nucleolar RNA U2-30
GAGCAAUGAUGAAAAGGUUUUAAUACUGAAUUUUGUCACUGUGAAGGUUCCUACACUUGACCUGAGCUCA